CUCUAGGCCACCUGAGUGUGUCACUCAAGCCCAGGCUGUCCUGGAACUCACUCUAUGGAAACACAGAAGCCACAAACUAGCAGGGAUCCUCCUUCUUCAGCCCAGAUGAUGACCUCACUUGUGGCUCAGUAGCAGAGGAAAGCUUGCAUGAGUCCUGCAACAGGUUGCCCACAAGGACUUCAUUAUUUCCUUUAGACAUUCAGCCAUUUUCAGGAUAUCCCCAUACUCACCAAGAGGACCCCACUUUUCAAAGAAGUAUGCCACGUAGAGGAAGACAGCAGCCUGGGAGUCCCUCCACAGUAAAUGGCAGUGACCUCGGGGUGACUCAGAAGGCAUCACGGUGCCGAGAAGUGACAGAGGAG